rnacentral:snRNA from 1 species
GUGCUCGCUUCAGCAGCACAUAUACUAAAAUUGGUAUCGAUACAGAGAAGAUUAGCAUGGCCCCUGCACCAGGGAUGGACAUGGAAAAAACACUACCAUAAAAUA